rnacentral:rRNA from 1 species
GACGAACGCUGGCGGCGUGCCUAAUACAUGCAAGUCGAGCGGAACUGGGGGAGCUUGCUCCUUCCAGUUUAGCGGCGGACGGGUGAGUAACACGUGGGCAACCUGCCCUGCAGAUCGGGGUAACUCCGGGAAACCGGUGCGAAUACCGAAUAGUUUGGCGCCUCUCAUGCGGCGCUACGGAAAGACGGUUUCGGCUGUCACUGCAGGCUCGGCCCGCGGCGCAUUAGCUAGUUGGUGGGGUAACGGCCCACCAAGGCGACGAUGCGUAGCCGACCUGAGAGGGUGACCGGCCACACUGGGACUGAGACACGGCCCAGACUCCUACGGGAGGCAGCAGUAGGGAAUCUUCCGCAAUGGACGCAAGUCUGACGGAGCAACGCCGCGUGAGUGACGAAGGUUUUCGGAUCGUAAAACUCUGUUGUGAGGGAAGAACACGUACCAACUAACUAUUGGUACCUUGACGGUACCUCACCAGAAAGCCACGGCUAACUACGUGCCAGCCGCCGCGGUAA